UAAUCCUCUGACCGGCUGCGGGGCCUUGUCGUCCCCCGACGGCAGCGGCUGCCGCCGCAGCACUUUAUUGCCCCCGAGGCGACACCUGUCCCGUCGCCCACCUCGCCGCCGCGAUCGCCUCCCUCAAAGCCGCACCAACUCCCCACCAACGCUCGAGCUCCACAUCCCCCGGUGCUCCCCCGCGCUCUCUCUUUUUUUAACCCGCCUCUCUGAACUGGGGCCUUGUUCAGUUGAGGGAAAUUUUUAGUUUUGGCUACUGUAGCACUUUCGUUUGUUUGUGACAAAUAUUGUCCAAUCAUGGACUAACUAGACUUAAAAGAUUCAGUUCGCGAUUUACAGGUAAACUGUGUAAUCAGUAUUUGUUUUUGUCUAUAUUUAAUACUUCAUGCAUGUGUCACAAGAUUCGAUGUGACGGAGAAUCUUGAAAUUUUUUGAAACUAAACAAGGCCUGGAUUUCCUCUUGCUAAUUGUGGUAUACUGUAGCACGCCAGCCGCAACUAAUCAAGGUCACGCUCCCCUCGAGCGGAGCGGAGCUAAGAGUCUCCUCCUCCCUCCUGUCGCUUCUGCCUGCCUGCCGGCUGCCGCCGCUGCCCUGCC
rnacentral:lncRNA from 1 species